AUAGAUACCCGGGUAGUCCACGCCGUAAACGAUGAGUGCUAAGUGUUAGGGGGUUUCCGCCCCUUAGUGCUGCAGCUAACGCAUUAAGCACUCCGCCUGGGGAGUACGGUCGCAAGACUGAAACUCAAAGGAAUUGACGGGGGCCCGCACAAGCGGUGGAGCAUGUGGUUUAAUUCGAAGCAACGCGAAGAACCUUACCAGGUCUUGACAUCCCACUGACCGCUAUGGAGACAUAGUUUUCCCUUCGGGGACAGUGGUGACAGGUGGUGCAUGGUUGUCGUCAGCUCGUGUCGUGAGAUGUUGGGUUAAGUCCCGCAACGAGCGCAACCCUUGAUCUUAGUUGCCAUCAUUUAGUUGGGCACUCUAAGGUGACUGCCGGUGACAAACCGGAGGAAGGUGGGGAUGACGUCAAAUCAUCAUGCCCCUUAUGACCUGGGCUACACACGUGCUACAAUGGACGGUACAAACGGUUGCCAACCCGGCGAGGGGGUAGCUAAUCCGGAUAAAACCCGUUCUCAGUUCGGAUUGUAGGCUGCAACUCGCCUAC
rnacentral:rRNA from 1 species